CCCCUGGGUGGUGGGUGGGGUUAAGGUUUCUGUUGGACACUAACGAUAAAGUUUUUGUAGAACUGUGUGAGUCUUGUUCUUGGUUCAUGCAUAUGAUUUUUAUAAAUCAUUUACAAAGUGCAAAACAGUUAUUUAAAAAUAUACUUCUAAGGCUAAGUAUGAGUAGUACAGAGAAUAUCUGCAGAGACAAUGAUCUUAUUUUGGUACCACAGCAAAUCAUGCUUACUGCAAAUGACAAAUUGGAAAACAAAAUCGCCCCUGCUAACUAACCAAGAGACACCUCUUCAAAGUGGUGAUUCUCUUUAUUUAGCUGGGGGAGAGCAACUGGCCCUAUCCAACCCCAGCACAGCAUCCCUCCAGUAGCUGCUGCUGGUGUCGAUCGUAUGUUGCUUUUUUAAAUUGUGAGUUCUUUUGGGACAGGGAGCCAUUUUAUAUUCUGUCUAUCUAUCUAUGUAUCUAUCUAUGUAAACUGCUUUGGGAACUUUUGUUGAAAAGCGGUAUGUAAAUAUUUGUCGUAUUCAUAUUCGUAUUGUAAGAGCAUGGAUGAGACUGCAGCACAUCAGCCAAAGGAUGAUGUGAAUGUGCAUAGAGAUGUAUUAUUAUUAUUAUUAUUAAUUAUUAUUAAUUUGAUUUCUAUACCACCCUUCCAAAAAUGGCUCAGGGCAGUUUACACAGAGAAAUAACAAACAAGAUGGAACCCUGUCCCCAAAGGGCUCACAUUCUAAAAAGAAACAUAAGGUAGACACCAGCAACAGUCACUGGAAGUACUGUGCUGGGGGUGCAUAGGGCCAGUUACUCUCCCCCUGCUAAAUAAAAAGAAUCGCCACGUUAAAAGGUGCCUCUUUGCCAAGUUAGCAGGGGUCACAGAAGCAUGUACACAGGUUAGCAUGUACACAGAACCGGUUCUAUACAUUCCAGGGAGGUGGGGAGUGGAUGCUUUAAGGCACGGGUAGGGUGUCCUUACUUCCCCUACCACGUUUUUCCUGCCGGCACUGCUGCCAAAACCACUGACUGCGAAUGAGUCAAUUAAAGCAACCACCCUCCGCAUCUGAACCGGCUCGAACACUGGCAUUUCGAACUGGUUUGGCGCUUCAGAAAAGGACCGUCAAACCGGUUUUGUGCACAUCCCUAAAUGUGACAUCUGAAGUGAACCAUUGUCUCUGAAAAUACUAAGCACAUGCUUAAGGUAUUGGGCAAGAUCCUGUAAUUUGAAAUACUUGGUGAACUUGAAAUUCCUAGAAAUAUGAUAGCUGUUAAUCAAGGUGUGCUUUGUUUUUGUUUUGUUUGGAUGGAGGUGGGGAUACAAUGAGUUAAGGUUGCUGGCCUGUGCUUGAAAUGGUAAAAGUUUGAAAGUGUCUCCUGACUGCAGUAACUGCUUUUAUCUCAUGUACUAUGCAGAUCUCAAAAACAAGCUGUACGUAAUAUCUUCAUUUAGACCAAUAUAUACAUACUUGAAAAGUUAACUACAGUGGCUUGAUCAGCUUCCCCUUUCUUUGUAAUAUUCUUAGUCAUGAUCUUUUAGCUCACUUAAGGAUUAUUACUAUGUAUGUUUUAAAAAAAUAAAUAUUAAUGAGAUUCAAGACUGA